AAUCUAACGCUUUCUCGCUUCCUCCUCCUCUUCUUCGUGUGUCUCUCUCCCUGCAAGCAAAGAAAAUAUGAGUAGCAGCAGCCGAUGGAAUCGUACGAUCUACGUUGGGAACUUACCUGGUGAUAUUCGCAUGAGAGAGGUUGAAGAUCUCUUCUACAAGUAUGGACCUAUUGUGGACAUUGAUUUGAAGAUUCCACCUAGGCCUCCCGGUUAUGCAUUCGUUGAGUUUGAAGAUCCUCGUGAUGCAGACGAUGCUAUUUAUGGACGGGAUGGGUAUGACUUUGAUGGAUGUCGACUUCGGGUUGAGAUUGCACAUGGUGGUCGUAGAGGUUCAUCAUCGGUUGAUAGGUACAGCAGCAGCUACAGUGGGAGCCGUGCACCUUCUAGACGUUCCGACUACCGUGUGCUUGUGACGGGAUUGCCGCCGUCUGCUUCCUGGCAGGACCUUAAGGACCACAUGCGCAAAGCUGGAGAUGUCUGCUUUUCUGAAGUUUUUCGCGACCGUGGAGGCAUGUCUGGGGUUGUGGAUUAUAGCAACUAUGAUGAUAUGAAGUAUGCUAUAAGGAAGCUUGAUGAUUCUGAGUUUCGAAAUGCUUUCUCUAGAGCUUAUAUACGGGUGAGAGAAUAUGAGUCGAGGAGUGUGAGUCGCAGCCCAUACUAUUCUAGAAGAAGCAGGAGUCGAAGCUAUAGCUAUAGUAGCAGAAGUGCAAUGCAAGUGUGUCGCCUGCUAGAUCGGGAUCUGCCCGUUCUCCAACUCCUCUUUCUCGUUCUCCAACACCGCGUAGCUCAGUCUCAAGAUCUGGCUCACUGCGGCGAGCUGGGGACUGGAUCUUAGGGACUUGAUGGAUCAUCUAUAGAUGGGUUCUAGGAACUUACUGCUCUGAUACUCAGCGCAGAUCCUUGCAACAUUUGUGAUUUAAGAGUCCCUUUGAUUCUCUAACGUUUUCUUUUUGUUGUCUAUGCUGGAAUCCAUGUUUAGUUCUUUUCCAGACCAACAACACUUUAAUUCCCGACGCCACAGUAAACAUUUGUUGUCUUUGCUGCAGGUCCCGAUCGAGAUCGAUAUCAGAUUCUCCAGUUUCACCCGUGCGAUCUGACUGAAAAGGAGAACUGGUGACCGGGAAUAGAGGACCGCCGUAUCCAAAUUGAUUCAUGCUUCUCAUGGUCCACUGGUAGUAUAAUAAUCUGAUUUGGAUUUGAGUUAUAUAUCUCGCAUGACCGUUGAUAAUAAUGUCUUCCUUUUCAAACUUUUAGUUGGUCUGUUAUUGUCUCUUUGCAAUGAACCGAACCUCUACAAAUAAUCUAUUUAUAGAUUGUGGUUGCUUGGAAAA